UAAGCCUACUUUAAAGGACCUUA
rnacentral:siRNA from 1 species